GCUGAAACUACAGAGACAACAGUGUCUCUCUAGAGGGGUGGCUGCUGGAACUACACAGACAACAGUGUCUCUAGAGGGGUGGCUGCUGGAACUACACAGACAACAGUGUCUCUAGAGGAGUGGCUGCUGGAACUACAGAGACAACAGUGUCUCUAGAGGAGUGGCUGCUGGAACUACACAGCCAUCAGUGUCUCUCUAGAGGGGUGGCUGCUGGAACUACACAGACAACAGUGUCUCUAGAGGAGUGGCUGCUAGAACUACACUGACUUCAGUGUCUCUCUAGAGGGGUGGCUGCUGGAACUACACUGACAUCAGUGUCUCUCUAGAGGGGUGGCUGCUGGAACUACACAGACAACAGUGUCUCUCUAGAGGGGUGGCUGCUGGAACUACACAGACAUCAGUGUCUCUCUAGAGGGGUGGCUGCUGGAACUACACAGACAACAGUGUCUCUCUAGAGGGGUGCCUGCUGGAACUACACAGGCAACAGUGUCUCUCUAGAGGAGUGGCUGCUGGAACUACACAGACAACAGUGUGUCUCUAGAGGGGUGGCUGCUGGAACUACACAGACAUCAGUGUCUCUCUAGAGGGGUGGCUGCUGGAACUACACAGACAACAGUGUCUCUCUAGAGGGGUGCCUGCUGGAACUACACAGGCAACAGUGUCUCUCUAGAGGAGUGGCUGCUGGAACUACACAGACAACAGUGUGUCUCUAGAGGGGUGGCUGCUGGAACUACAGAGACAACAGUGUCUCUAGAGGAGUGGCUGCUGGAACUACACAGACAACAGUGUCUCUCUAGAGGAGUGGCUGCUGGAACUACACAGACAACAGUGUCUCUCUAGAGGAGUGGCUGCUGGAACUACACAGACAACAGUGUCUUUCUAGAGGAGUGGCUGCUGGAACUACACAGACAACAGUGUCUCUAGAGGAGUGGCUGCUGAAACUAGAACUAGAACUGGAACACUACUUUGUGACUUCAAGUCGAGACAAGAAGGUAAAUAUUCUACACCAGAAAAACCUUAGAGUUAUUAGCAGAGGUAGCUUGUAUUCUCCAGACUUCAACGUCUGUUCACUUAGGUCUGGGCGUGUGUUCACAAAGCGUCUCAGAGAAGAAGUGCUGAUCAAGGAUCAGUCUUGACUUUUAAAUCAUAAUGAAUAAGAGGGGGGUUCUGAACCUAGAUCAGCACUCCUACUCUAAGACCCUUUGUGAUACAGGCCCUGAACUCUAGCUUAAGACUCCUUUGACAUCAAAACAAGAUUCACAUUACAUUUAAUGAUGUGCUAAUUGCAAGUCAGGAUUCAGCCUUUAAAGGUUGUUAGUUACAAAUGAGCUCCUCACUUAAGUAAAGGUCACAAUGGUAAAGAAAAAGUAUUAUAAUACUGUUCAUCGUAGGCUGCGUCCCAAAUGGCACCAUAUUCCCUUUAGGCUUGACACUCCUGUGAAGGGACGCAUCUGCACUCAGUCUGGACGCAAUCAGGCUACCGAAAGUUCAUACAGUGGGCUACAUCAUCAGCACUUUGCCCACAAGUCUCCAGGGACCGAGAAGCACCUUUUUAAAUGUUGGUGGAAAUACGUUCCUAGCGUGUGAGGAACGUGUUUGCUGGCUUCAUAAAUGCUAGCCAGUUGGUUUAUUAAAAAAACAAUGUUUUGUUUGGCUAAAGUUAUCCUGACCUGUUGUCAAUCUCUUUAUCUUUGCUAGCUUGCUGGCUAGUUACAGAGGUUAGCCAGUUAGCUACAGUAGUUAACUACUGCCAUGAAGUUGCUGUUGUGUUAUUAUCGGAUGUAGCACUUUCCACCGUUUGCAGAAUGCAUACUGGCAUUUCAAUAUAGCGUGGGAAAAUGGAUUCCGAACACACUACGGACACGGUAGACACAUUUAAAUGUAGGUGUAGACGCAUGACGUGUUCGGAAUUCCAUGAUCACAACUCCAUGAUCAGAAUACAAAAGCUGCAUGAACUGUCAAGUCUAGUCCCGGCCUUGUAGUACACUUGUUUUUGAGCAGGGCCUAUAAAGAAAUAGGAUGGCAUUUGGGACACAUGAAUGGCCUAUGUUAGUAUGAAGUGACAGUAUCACGUAAUUGACAUUUUCCUUUACAGGUGAUAGAAUGGGGUGACUUGCAGUAGUUCUGAGGCAAGUGUGACCCCUGAUGAACCCCCCAGUCAUCCAGCCCUGUUCCUCCAUAUUAGAUGUAGGAGACUCAGCCACUGCUAUCUCCUUCUGCCUCGACAACAGUCAGAGUCACGCGUUGACAGUGAAGAGGCUGCACUGGAGGCCGAGGGCACGCCUGGUCGGCCAGGGGGACGGGGAAGAGGGUGAAGGCAGGGUCACAGCAGCAGAUAGUUCCUGGGUGCAGCUGGCCAGCGCCGGGGCAGACCACUGUCAAAAUCUUCAACAUCAACAGACUGGCUGUGUAGCUAGCGUUGGCUCUGGGACAUUGACAGCAUUAGAUGGUGGCAUCCUGACACUGCUGACUAAGACUACAGGGCUGACUGCCUGGAGAGGAGAGGAGCAGAGCUGGGGCUGGUCGUUCACUGGGUCAUUCCACCCCCCUGUGUGACAGCCAGCCAGCUCGAACAAGAAAGACAGGCAGGCCAGGUCUGUUGAACUGCUUUCAGGAUGCCCCCAGUCCAGGACUUCUCUGUUUCUCUGGAUGGAGCUCUGGUCUUUAUGUUGACCCUGCAGUCAUCAACUUCUGUACUCUUAAGUUCUUGGACAAGGGAUAUUAGGCUCACAGUUUCAGCAUACUUUUAUGUUGAAAUGUAUUAAUUUGUUAAUGCUCAUUCAAAUCAUAUUUGAAAGUCCUCUUUCUUUCAUUACCAUAUGUUCUUUCUUUCUGAUGUAUUGCUGUCUCUUCAUGUCCUUAGAAAAUAUGACAUAGUACUGAUAAUUUUAAUGUAAAAAAAGUAACUUAUCUGAAUAAAGCUCCUUUUGUAACCAUAGAUUGAUUAGUCAGAACCAGUUGACCCCAAUGACAAUGCAACUGCAUGACUUUGACAUCUUUCAUCACACUGUAGCAAAAUCUAAUAGCAUACUCUUGAUAUUGAUAUACCAUACAAUUUACUGAAGGUACCACGUUCAUCUGUACAAACAAUAGUACGCAAGUAUAAACACCACGCAGCCGUCAUACCGCUCAGGAAGGAGACGCAUUCUGUCUCCUAGAGAUGAACGUACUUUGGUGCGAAAAGUGCAAAUCAAUCCCAGAACAACAGCAAAGGACCUUAUGAAGAUGCUGGAGGAAACAGGUACAAAAGUAUCGAUAUCCACAGUAAAACGAGUCCUAUAUCGACAUAACCUGAAAGGCCGCUCAGCAAGGAAGAAGCCACUGCUCCAAAACCGCCAUAAAAAAGUCAGAUUACUGUUUGCAACUGCACAUGGGGACAAAGAUAGUGCUUUUUGGAGAAAUGUCCUCUGGUCUGAUGAAACAAAAUUAGAACUGUUUGGCCAUAAUGACCAUCGUUAUGUUUGGAGGAAAAAGGUGGAGGCUUGCAAGCCGAAGAACACCAUCCCAACCGUGAAGCACAGGGGUGGCAGCAUCAUGUUGUGAGGGUGCUUUGCUGCAGGAGGUGCUGGUGCACUUCACAAAAUAGAUGGCAUCAUUGAGGCAGGAAAAUUAUGUGGAUAUAUUGAAGCAACAUCUCAAGACAUCAGUGAGGAAGUUAAAGCUUGGUCACAAAUGGGUCUUCCAAAUGGACAUGACCCCAAGCAUACAUCCAAAGUUGUGGCAAAAUGGCUUAAGGACAACAAUGUCAAGGUAUUGGAGUGGCCAAUAAAGCCCUGACCUCAAAGCCCUGACCUCAAAAAUGUGUGGGCAGAACUGAAAAAGCAAGUGCGAGCAAGGAGUUAUACAAACCUGACUGAGUUACACCAGCUCUGUCAGGAGGAAUGGGCCAAAAUUCACCCAACUUAUUGUGGGAAGCUUGUGGAAGGCUACCCGAAACAUUUGACCCAAGUUAAACAAUUUGAAAGCAAUGCUACCAAAUACUAAUUGAGUGUAUGUAAACUUCUUACCCACUGGGAAUGUAAUGAAAAAAAUAAAAGCUGAAAUAAA